rnacentral:lncRNA from 1 species
GGCCAGGGAAGUCCUGCCUUCGACCUUCAACGUGGCUGGUCUCCUCUCAGGUUCCUGGAAGGAGAUGGAGGGAGGUGAAACCUGAGAAAGGAAUACAGGGAGAGAGGUCGGCUCAACCCCGGGGGCUCUUUCUUCCGGCCUUCUUCUGAGGCUUCUCAUCUUCCUCACAUUGGUACAAGAAAUCUUCAAGGGACUGAUAACAGGCCCAGUUCGGCUGAUUACCAGUAAACACACAAAGCCUCAUCCGAAAUCAGCAGCUGCUCACACUGGAGAUGAAGCCAUGAGCCCCUGUGAGCAUCACGUCAUCCCCAAGUGUACAGGAUGCAGACAAGAGCCAGUGUGUGGUCUGACGUCGACAAAAAAAAACCAUGGUUCUUCCCUGAUUCAAAGUCUUCAGCAGAAGGGUUAUAGAAAAUGAAUUCUACCCUGUGUAAGUCAGUGACCCUGGCUGAGCUUUGUGGACGGAGCACCGUGACACCGGGGCAGAUCCUAGAGACAGACUGUGAUCUCCCCAGCUAUGGACUUUUGAUCAGAAGCACAGCACGAGGCAUAAAUGCCCUCCUGUGGAACAGGCCUCAAAGCCAAUCAGGAUGUGACUGGUUGCUCCCCAGACAGUCUACAGGACCACCACUGUCCUCAAGAGCCCCAAAGGCCAGAUGCUAUCUGAAAUAAAACUGCCUGGCAAUGGCAUUGUGAACUUCCAGCACCUUCCUCACAGCACCGGAGUUU